GACGAAUGCUGGCGGCGUGCUUAACACAUGCAAGUCGAACGGAAAGGCCCUGCUUUUGUGGGGUGCUCGAGUGGCGAACGGGUGAGUAACACGUGAGUAACCUGCCCUUGACUUUGGGAUAACUUCAGGAAACUGGGGCUAAUACCGGAUAGGAGCUCCUGCUGCAUGGUGGGGGUUGGAAAGUUUCGGCGGUUGGGGAUGGACUCGCGGCUUAUCAGCUUGUUGGUGGGGUAGUGGCUUACCAAGGCUUUGACGGGUAGCCGGCCUGAGAGGGUGACCGGCCACAUUGGGACUGGGAUACGGCCCAGACUCCUACGGGGGGCAGCAGUGGGGAAUAUUGCACAAUGGGCGGAAGCCUGAUGCAGCAACGCCGCGUGCGGGAUGACGGCCUUCGGGUUGUAAACCGCUUUCGCCUGUGACGAAGCGUGAGUGACGGUAAUAGGUAAAGAAGCACCGGCUAACUACGU
rnacentral:rRNA from 1 species